GAAACGACUGCUAAUACCGCAUAAGCCCACGACCCGGCAUCGGGUUGAGGGAAAAGGAGCAAUCCGCUUUGAGAUGGCCUCGCGUCCGAUUAGCUAGUUGGUGAGGUAACGGCCCACCAAGGCGACGAUCGGUAGCCGGACUGAGAGGUUGAACGGCCACAUUGGGACUGAGACACGGCCCAGACUCCUACGGGAGGCAGCAGUGGGGAAUAUUGCACAAUGGGGGAAACCCUGAUGCAGCGACGCCGCGUGGAGGAAGAAGGUCUUCGGAUUGUAAACUCCUGUUGUUGAGGAAGAUAAUGACGGUACUCAACAAGGAAGUGACGGCUAACUACGUGCCAGCAGCCGCGGUAAAACGUAGGUCACAAGCGUUGUCCGGAAUUACUGGGUGUAAAGGGAGCGCAGGCGGGAAGACAAGUUGGAAGUGAAAUCUAUGGGCUCAACCCAUAAACUGCUUUCAAAACUGUUUUUCUUGAGUAGUGCAGAGGUAGGCGGAAUUCCCGGUGUAGCGGUGGAAUGCGUAGAUAUCGGGAGGAACACCAGUGGCGAAGGCGGCCUACUGGGCACCAACUGACGCUGAGGCUCGAAAGUGUGGGUAGCAAACAGGAUUAGAUACCCUGGUAGUCCACACCGUAAACGAUGAUUACUAGGUGUUGGAGGAUUGACCCCUUCAGUGCC
rnacentral:rRNA from 1 species